AGUGAACGCUGGCGGUAGGCCUAACACAUGCAAGUCGAACGGCAGCACAGUAAGAGCUUGCUCUUACGGGUGGCGAGUGGCGGACGGGUGAGGAAUACAUCGGAAUCUACUUUUUCGUGGGGGAUAACGUAGGGAAACUUACGCUAAUACCGCAUACGACCUACGGGUGAAAGCAGGGGAUCUUCGGACCUUGCGCGAUUGAAUGAGCCGGUGUCGGAUAGCUAGUUGGCGGGGUAAAGGCCCACCAAGGCGACGAUCCGUAGCUGGUCUGAGAGGAUGAUCAGCCACACUGGAACUGAGACACGGUCCAGACUCCUACGGGAGGCAGCAGUGGGGAAUAUUGGACAAUGGGCGCAAGCCUGAUCCAGCCAUACCGCGUGGGUGAAGAAGGCCUUCGGGUUGUAAAGCCCUUUUGUUGGGAAAGAAAAGCAGCAGGUUAAUACCCCGCUGUUCUGACGGUACCCAAAGAAUAAGCACCGGCUAACUUCGUG
rnacentral:rRNA from 1 species